AACGCUAGCUACAGGCUUAACACAUGCAAGUCGAGGGGCAGCAUGAUUGAAGCUUGCUUCAAUUGAUGGCGACCGGCGCACGGGUGAGUAACACGUAUCCAACCUUCCGUACACUCAGGGAUAGCCUUUCGAAAGAAAGAUUAAUACCUGAUGGUAUGAUGAGAUUGCAUGGUAACAUCAUUAAAGAUUUAUCGGUGUACGAUGGGGAUGCGUUCCAUUAGAUAGUAGGCGGGGUAACGGCCCACCUAGUCGACGAUGGAUAGGGGUUCUGAGAGGAAGGUCCCCCACAUUGGAACUGAGACACGGUCCAAACUCCUACGGGAGGCAGCAGUGAGGAAUAUUGGUCAAUGGGCGAGAGCCUGAACCAGCCAAGUAGCGUGAAGGAUGAAGGUCCUACGGAUUGUAAACUUCUUUUAUACGGGAAUAAAGUUUCCUACGUGUAGGAUUUUGUAUGUACCGUAUGAAUAAGCAUCGGCUAACUCCGUGCCAGCAGCCGCGGUAAUACGGAGGAUGCGAGCGUUAUCCGGAUUUAUUGGGUUUAAAGGGAGCGCAGACGGGAGAUUAAGUCAGUUGUGAAAGUUUGCGGCUCAACCGUAAAAUUGCAGUUGAUACUGGUUUCCUUGAGUGCAGUUGAGGCAGGCGGAAUACGUGGUGUAGCGGUGAAAUGCUUAGAUAUCACGAAGAACUCCGAUUG
rnacentral:rRNA from 1 species